rnacentral:rRNA from 1 species
UACGAAGGGGGCGAGCGUUAUUCGGAAUCACUGGGCGUAAAGCGUGCGUAGGCUGUUUUGUAAGUUGGGAGUGAAAGCCCAGGGCUCAACCCUGGAAUUGCUCUCAAAACUACAAGACUUGAAUCUCGGAGAGGAUAGCGGAAUUGUCAGUGUAGCAGUGAAAUGCGUAGAUAUUGACAGGAACACCAGUGGCGUAAGCGGCUAUCUGGACGAGUAUUGACGCUGAGGCACGAAAGCGUGGGGAUCAAACAGG